rnacentral:lncRNA from 1 species
GUGUAAUCCGAUAACUUUAUUUUAAUUGAAAAUGGAGGCAUAACAUGUCCUAGAAAAAUAAAGAUUUAGGAUACAAAGGAGACACAGCGGCAGGGCUGCCCCCAGGGAUGAGGGAAUCUUUGGUCUGGGCCGGAUAUGAGGACAAGGGCUUGAGUCCAGGGGAGCUGGUGAAGGAAGACCCCCGCCUCCCCACAGCUGCCCCACCCCCCGCCCCUGGCAGGAAAUGCCACACUGGGGAGGGUCUCCAGUCUCAGGGGCGCGGGGCUGCCUGUCCUCCACCUUCGGAUUCCAGGCAGUUGUGACAACACCAGCUAUCGGCAGAGCUAUUAAUAGUGUUUCAGGGAGUGACAGGGAGAGGGCUCUGGGGGCUGGAAGUCCGGCCCUGGGGCAGGGUGUUCCGCUUACAGCUAGUACCAAGUGGAGGGGGCAGGGCCCCUGAGUCAGGACCCUGAGUCCCCCACGUAUAUGGCAGGGCACAGCAUGGGGAGGGCUGUUAAGAGAGGCCUCCCAUCCAGAGGGGGAUGGAGACCUGACAGGGAGGUGGCCGGGGAUACAACCCCCAGCACCACCAGGGCUUGGAGAGGCCACCCAGGCAGAAGGAUGUGGCGACUGGGGUCUUCAGCAACCGCAUUUCUGGGGCUCCCCCCUCCCAUUGCUGUCCCUGCGUCUUCAGCACCAAUGUCGGGAGAGGCCACAGGGCCACACUGGGUCACAGUUCCAAGGGCUCCUCCACAGGCACCGACUGGAGCUGGGUCAGAACCUUGGCCUCAGCUUCCAACCCCUCGUCAACCUCACCCCCUGCGGUGGCCCCCAGGAGCAGCCCCUCAGGGUCGGGGUCUGGCAGCCUCAGCACGGUGUGGGGGGCCUGUGUCCCCAGCCCCUUUUCCGCUUCCAGCAGCCCCUCUGUUCCUGCGCUUAGUUCCAGCCCUGCUGACCAGACAGGCACGGCCGCGGGUGACAACAUCAGCCCCUCUGGUGGGGGCGCCGGGAAGUUGGGCAGGAGGCCAGGGGAGUCAGGGGAGAAGGGCAGGCUGGUGCUGGAGGUGGUGGCAGCGGCGGGGGGUGGCUGCUGCGCAGAAAGGGUGCCUAGGGCGUGAGCCUCUGGGAGAGCAGGGCUGGGGGCCACCGGGAGGCCUCCCUCAGGCACGGAGAUGGCCGUCUCUGGCUUCAGUGGCAGGGCCAGGCCGGGGGCUGGCGGCAGGACCUGGGAGACGAGCAUGCUGGUGGGGAAGGUGGCGGUGAGGAUGAUCUUGCCCUGCUGCACGGCCACACCCGUCACGAUGGGGCUGCCAGACACAGGGUUGGCCAGGAGGAAGUUUCCUGUGGGGAGAGAGGGACCGAGUGCAGGUGAGAGCCAGGAGAGCAGGCCAAGCCAGAGAGAAGUGGAGACUGCGCAGCUGGAGGGCGGGCGGAGGGAGCCUUCCGGUGGGCCUUGGGGCACUGGGACUUGCCAGGGAUGAGAUGCCCUCCAGGAGCCCAGGGACAGCCCCCUCCCUCUCCGAGAUGACUGCACCCCUCCCCGGCUCUCACCUAGGCCUGAGGGAGGGAGAUGGGGGUACCUGGGGCAGUGGCCGAAGGCAGCUGCAGGGCAGUCACGCCCACCCCGGAGUUGAUGAGGUGCACGUUGGCAGGGCCUGCUGCAGCUGCCACCUUCACAGGGCUGCCUGGCCCGGCUGCCAACAGCUGCAGGGGCCCCACAGCCUGGGGCAGGGUCACCACCUGUGAGGUGGGUACUACCUGGGGCAGGUUCAAUAGUGGGGAGGUGGGGCUCAGGCCCGUGGGAUACCCCGGGGGUGGGGAGAGCGGUACCACUUGUGGGGCAGCCACAGCAGGCACUGGCCCCGGGGGCAGAGGAAAGGUGGCAGCCGUCGGGGGGCCAGGCACCACUUGGGCCAGGGGCCCCAGGACCUCCUCUCCAAGGGCUGGUCUUGGCCUCGCUGGCCCCCUGAGGGCUGGGCUGCGGUGGAGGGGCACCCCCGCCCCCAGUGAGCAGCAGCGGGCCCAGGCUGGAGGCCUCGCCCAGGGCCAGGCCGUUGAUGAUGACGGGGCCCCCGUUGAGGAGCACUGCUGGGGAGCCGCUGGCUGCCAGGAAGCUCCCAUUCACCAGGAUGGAGGAGGAAGCCGGGCAAGGCGCGGGAGGGCCGGUCCCUGCCAGGAACAUGGAGCCCUGGGCAGCGGCCUCGGCGGACACUGGGGCCGCCCCUCUCUCCAGGUCCUCAGGACUUCGGCUGGACUCGUCCUCAGUCGUGGGAUUCCCAUCAGACUCGCUGGCCGGAGAAAUGGCUGUCAGCUGGGGUCCCUUAGCCUGUGGGGCCUCCCGCAUAGCCAGCCGGCUGCUCCCCCACCUUUCCCUGGCCCAAGUUUCGGUGGAUCAUUCCAGGGGUUAUGACGCCUCUCUGAGACCACUCCAAACUCCAGGGCCUUUUGCAAGCCCUGCGUGGACACCACUGCAGAGAAGCGCUGGGGAGGGAAGAGGCCCUUGCUCUCCCCCACCUCGGCCUCGGGUCCCCAGAGGCUGAGCUCCCAGGUUG